UUUUGGUUAGAUUAGGGUAUAAAAUACUUAAAAUUUAUAGAUUUUCUGAGUAUUUUCAAUACUUUUCAUAGAAUCGGAUACAAAUUUUUAAAUAUUUGGAUACUUCGGGUAAACCCGAAUCCGAACCCGAAAUACCCGAUCCAAACCCGAUCCGAACCCGAAGUUUUAAAAUACCCGAACGGGUCUUAGUUUUCUAAAUCCGAAAAACCCGAACCCGAAAAACCCGACCCGAA
rnacentral:lncRNA from 1 species